rnacentral:lncRNA from 12 species
AUGUUACUGUUUAGUCACUUUUUUGUAGCAAGAAGAUUCAAAGAGAAAAGAGAAGAGAAGAGAAGAGAAGAGAAGAGAAGAGAAGAGAAGAGAAGAGAAGAAGGAAGGAAGGAAGGAAGGAAGGAAGGAAGGAAGGAAGGAAGGAAGAAAGAAAAAGAAAAAGAAAGAAAGAAAGAAAGAAAGAAAGAAAGAAAGAAAGAAAGAAAGAAAAGAAAGAAAGAAUUAUGUAUUAUAGAAUGAACCGUCUAUUCCACCAGUACAAAAUUUUUAGGUAAGUUCCAUACACACAUAUCCAUUUAUAAAUUAUAUAUAAGAUCUUAUAUGUAAUGCUUAUCAUAAAGCAUUCCUAAAAUAGAAAUUUGAAACAAAAUACAAAAAGGAAAGCUCAUGUUAGUAAAAUAGGAAUAACAUUUAUUGAAUAAUUAUUAUGUACCUGUCCUCCGAAGGAAUGUGGCCUGAGGAGUAUACUCAUUCCCUUUGCAGCUUGUCCAUCAAGAUCAUGAUGAACAUUUACUUGCUUUAUCCUGUCUUGCCAAUCUCUCAGAUGUGGACAUUGAUUGCCUUCUGGCUUCUCUGUAUUAACUUGUUUCAUCUUGUCUUGUACUUCUGAAGUUAGCUAUGUUGACCUCUAGAAUUUAUGUGUUCUCCAAAUGUUCCCUUAUUUCCCAUCUAGCUUCACAGGCAUUUAUGUAGAUCUGGAGUGUUGCUUCAAACUAUGACUUGUUUCAGCUCUGGGGGCCAACUUAUCCUGCCUUGUCCAAUAGUUGCCAACAAUGGACAUGAGUAUGUGUGCUAAAUAUUUACAACAUAACAAAUUCUAAGGUCUUCUGUCUUAGUGCAGGCGAUUACAUUAUGUAGUCUGUGGAUAAUUUUGGCACUGACAUAUCAUUAUCCUUUGCUUUUAAGUGAUGUCAAGUUUUAUAAGUAUCUUGAGACAGAAACAAAUAUGGCAUACACUUGUAUCCAAUCCUGAGCUGAAAAAAUGGUAUUUUAAAAUGUAAAGCUACAUAGUCUGCUCCUUAAAACUUUUUGUCAUAUUCAAACAUAGAGUGCUCAGAAUUUUUCCUUCCGUGAAGACUGGACCCCAAGUUGCUUAGUCUGCUGAUACUGUGCUACGUUGCUAUCACUUGACAAUGCAUUGAGAUCUGAAGGUUAAAAAUUGUCGGUCUGUCUUCAUGUUAUACAAUUAGUUGCAAAAUUGUGUGUAUAUGUCUGUAUAUAUUUUAAUAUUAGAAUUUUA